AUUCUUCAAACUUCCGAACUCAUUAUUGCUACGGUAAAUACUCGGGUCAAAGCCACCGUAAAGGGACGAUUCAGACAUGCCAUAAUUACCUCCACCUAGGUUGGACAUUGAAUAGCUAGUUUCUCCAACCGUAGGAUAAAUGUAAUGGGCAGUUGGAUCCAUCAUACCAGUGUAAUUAUUUCCAUAAUCAUUACAGUUUCUUCCGGUCGGUAUAGCAUAUCUAUCGUUGUCUAUUCCGAGACCAGUACCACUAGAACUAGCACCAUUGAUAUCCAUACGCAUCCGUUUAUUUGGCGGUUGUUGCGCAAGUGGUGGUUGUCUUUGUUGUAUUGGUUGAUGUGCCUGUUGCGGUUGUUGCGUCUGCUGUGAUAGAGAGUUAUUUGAUCUCUCUCUUUCUGACUCUCGAUACUUCUCCAGAUAAAUCUAAUGGAACAAAAUACAUUCGAAAAGAGAUUUAAUAAUUAAGAUAAUGUCUGAUAGUUUGUGAAAUAUUGUGUUAAUUGUGAUCAAACGAGAUGAACCUUUAGAGGAAUAGUAUAUGAAUCAAAGUCGAGGCGGUACAUGGACCAAAGAAGGUCAUCGCCGUUGAUAGUUUUACGUUUCUCACUGUGACACUUUUCAGACGCUUCGCCGGUGAUAAAACUAACAAACUCCGAUACACAUUCUUGAAUCGUUUCUUUGGCUUCUUUCGAGAUCUUGGCAUUUAUCGGUAAAGCUCUCUUCAUGAUCCGGCUCACAUUUGCUAUUGGAAGAAAUCGAUCACUUCGGGAUGCAUCCCUUCCGGGAUUACUAUUAGAUGAACUCCCGACCAUUGGAUUAUUGGUUGCAAGCUUCCUUCAAUUCAGUUGUUCACGCCUUCAGAUGUUCCUCUGACAUGGUUUGUGAAAAGAAUUUAUAAGAAUGUUUAAACCUAUUCCCAAAAUUCUUGUCCACCCAUAAAAUAGAAAUUUCAAUGUCCUGUCCACCAAUAGAUUUUUUUUUAGCUAUCAAUAGUUUUCUUUAACUAUCAACCACCUAAUUUUGAUGCAAUAUAGAUAUUAUUGACUAAUAAUCCAAAUUAUGUACUUUGUCGACACUAAGGUGUCAAACGAGCUGAGCUUUGGCUUAUUGAGCUAGGCUCGGGCUCAGCUCGUUAAGGAGUAAUCCAGGCUCGAGCUCGGGCUCGGCUCGUUAAUGAUUUGCCGAUACCGAGCCCUUGCCGAAGUCAUCGAGUCAAGAUUUAUUUGACACCCUAGUCGACGCUAAUCGUUUUGUCCAAUGUCUAUUACGAAAUUCGGUCAUAUUUUCCGAAGCGGGUAUCGUGGCAAGACAUUCUCGAGUUUGGCCCAGUCUUCAUAGACCGAGACUCACUCGAAACUCGAAAUUUUCUAUGAAAAAUCCGUCUUAAAAUAUAAAUGAAAUUAAUUUAACCAAUUACUCUCUAAUUAAUUUAAAUUCAUCAAUUAACCCAUUUUUAAUUUAUCUAAUUUACCUCUGUUUAUUUUUUAGGGCAGGUUUCCUAUACUGAUUAAAAAAUAAAAUUUUGGAUGACCAAUUCAUAUUGAUUAUAAAAACUAGCUUAUAAAAAUUCAAUACAUUCACUCCAUACAAUAAUUAAUAUUCAAUACAUUAAUUAAUAUUCAAAUUAAAAAUAAACACAUUUAUUUAAUUAACAAUAAAAAUUUCAAGAAAAUUAAUGAUUAUUUCAAUAUCCUAUGACGAGGACACAUAUCAUUAAAUAUUUUUAAAAUGACUUCAUUGUCUAUAUUUUUAAAAACAGUUUUUUGAAUAUAUGUUAAUAAACAAUCAUUCAUCAAACUAUCACCAAAUUUAUAUAUUAAAUUUAUUUUAAUAUAUAAAAUAUAAAAUAUAAAAUAUUUUAAUAUAUUAAAUAUUGAGAGUGGUAGAGGGAGUGGGGAAGAGAAUAUAUUAAAUAUUGUGAAAUUUUGUAUAUUAACCCUUGAAAAAUAUUAAUAUAUUGUGAAAAUUGCAUUUAACUCCUUAUAAAAAAAUUAUUACAUACAGGUCCUUAUUUUUUCCCCCAAAAUUCAAAGGGGGUAAUUAUCCUCUCUUGCAGCCCCUAGCUACGCCACUGCGCACCGACAGUGGAUCUGAAAAUUAUCGUAUUUUUUUAUACCAUUUCCUUAAUAUCAUUUGUUUUAACCUAGUCACCCAAUCCAUUGAUCCAAUUUGAGUACCUUCUAGCUAUAUAAGCCUGUAAAUUUUUUAAAAUUUAAUAUCUGAUAUUUAUGAAAUUACAGAAAAAUAAUGAAAAAUUUAAUAAUUAAAACAUAAAUUAUCCUAAAAUAUAAAUGAAGGAUAACCUAAAUCUAUUGAUCUUGAAAGCUCAAUAUAUUAUUCUUAUUCGAUUCAUCUUACAUAUAUAUAUAUUCAUUAAUUACUUUCCCGGUGAUGGUGGUUGUGGUGGUUUCAUUGUCGGUAAUGUAUCAGAAUAGAGAUAAUUUUGAUAUAUCGCCCUACUGAUAUCACCUCCCAUACCUUCAUUUUUAUUUGCUUCAUCUAUCUUACUAGAGAACAUCGCCAUUAAAUCACCUGCUUCUUCAGUCCUGCUAUCACAUCUUUCCUGCAUUGUUGGAAACCUCUCGCUACCAUUCUUCAAACUUCCGAACUCAUUAUUGCUACGGUAAAUGCUCGGGUCAAGGCCAGCGUAAAGGAACGAUUCAGACAUGCCAUAAUUACCUCCACCUAGGUUGGAAAUUGAAUAGCUAGUUUCUCCAACCGUAGGAUAAAUGUAAUGGCCAGUUGGAUCCAUCAUACCAGUGUAAUCAUUUCCAUAACCAUUACAGUUUCUUCCAAUCGGUAUAGUAUAUCUAUCGUUGUCUAUUCCGAGACCAGUACCACUAGAACUAGCACAAUUGAUAUCCAUACACAUCCGUUUAAUUGGUGGUUGUUGCGUAAGUGGGGGUUGUCUUUGUUGUUGUGGUUGAUGUGCCUGUUGCAAUUGUUGCGUCUGCUGUGAUGGGGAGUUAUUUGAUCUCUCUCCUUCUGAC
rnacentral:lncRNA from 1 species